UACGAAGGGGGCUAGCGUUGCUCGGAAUUACUGGGCGUAAAGGGAGCGUAGGCGGACUGUUUAGUCAGAGGUGAAAGCCCAGGGCUCAACCUUGGAAUUGCCUUUGAUACUGGCAGUCUUGAGUACGGAAGAGGUAUGUGGAACUCCGAGUGUAGAGGUGAAAUUCGUAGAUAUUCGGAAGAACACCAGUGGCGAAGGCGACAUACUGGUCCGUUACUGACGCUGAGGCUCGAAAGCGUGGGGAGCAAACGAG
rnacentral:rRNA from 1 species